rnacentral:lncRNA from 1 species
AAGCCCACGAAGCCCAUCUCUAAAAUCUAUAAAUAGAGGUGUUGGGGUGCUCAUUAUAACGAACUCGAAGGAGCGGAAGAUCGAAGAGCAUAAAGAAUUCUCUCUAGUAUCACAAGUUGAAGUGGAAGAUUGAGGAGUUCAAAGAAUUCUAUCAAGUAUCAAGUAUUCAUCAAGUAUCCUUCAAAUCUUCAAGAUCUUCAAGGCAACAUUCAAGUAUCCUUCGAACAUUCAAGUAUUUGAGCAUUCAAAUCUUCAAGUAUCCUUCGAAUCUUCAAGUAUUUGAGCGUUUAAAUCUUCAAGUGUCUUCAAGAAUUCUAUCAAGUCUUCAAGUAUUCUUCAAGUAUCUUCAAGUGAUCAAACCUUCAAAUCUUCAAGUGAUCAAGGCGUUCUUACAAAUUCCAAGAACGAUCUUCUUCAAAUCAAAUCAACCAAGUCCCAAAGCUUCAAGGCGUUCUUACAAAAUUCUAAGGACGUUCUUCUCAAAUCAAAUCAAGUUCAACGUUCAAUCCAAAAUCAUGACUUAAGUCCUUUGGAUUGGCGUCAUCAAAACAAGUAUUUCAAGAACCUUCGAGUUUGUUCAAGAAUCAAAUGGAAGAGAAGAAUCAGAGGAUUAACUAGAGAUUGCAACCCGCAUAAAUCUAUCUAUCAAAUUCUAUCAAAUUAUCUUUGUGACGCGUUUUGUAUUUUAUCAAAUUGAAAUACAAAAAUUUGUGUUUACAAAUUUUGGCA